GCAAGUCGAGCGGACAGAAGGGAGCUUGCUCCCGGAUGUUAGCGGCGGACGGGUGAGUAACACGUGGGUAACCUGCCUGUAAGACUGGGAUAACUCCGGGAAACCGGAGCUAAUACCGGAUAGUUCCUUGAACCGCAUGGUUCAAGGAUGAAAGACGGUUUCGGCUGUCACUUACAGAUGGACCCGCGGCGCAUUAGCUAGUUGGUGGGGUAAUGGCUCACCAAGGCGACGAUGCGUAGCCGACCUGAGAGGGUGAUCGGCCACACUGGGACUGAGACACGGCCCAGACUCCUACGGGAGGCAGCAGUAGGGAAUCUUCCGCAAUGGACGAAAGUCUGACGGAGCAACGCCGCGUGAGUGAUGAAGGUUUUCGGAUCGUAAAGCUCUGUUGUUAGGGAAGAACAAGUGCGAGAGUAACUGCUCGCACCUUGACGGUACCUAACCAGAAAGCCACGGCUAACUACGUGCCAGCAGCCGCGGUAAUACGUAGGUGGCAAGCGUUGUCCGGAAUUAUUGGGCGUAAAGGGCUCGCAGGCGGUUUCUUAAGUCUGAUGUGAAAGCCCCCGGCUCAACCGGGGAGGGUCAUUGGAAACUGGGAAACUUGAGUGCAGAAGAGGAGAGUGGAAUUCCACGUGUAGCGGUGAAAUGCGUAGAGAUGUGGAGGAACACCAGUGGCGAAGGCGACUCUCUGGUCUGUAACUGACGCUGAGGAGCGAAAGCGUGGGGAGCGAACAGGAUUAGAUACCCUGGUAGUCCACGCCGUAAACGAUGAGUGCUAA
rnacentral:rRNA from 1 species